GCUUUUCAGGGCCCUAAUAGAAGUGCUUUUCUUUUCGAGAUUUUUAAAAAAAUCUUGAAGCCCGAGCGGACAAUAAAAAACGCAUCCAGGCCCAUUUCCGGAGGACUGAGAUUGCGACGAACAACCAGGAAGCGGCCGGGCUGGGAGCUGUCCCCGGUUCUCCACUCUGCUCUCUAGGCCCCCUCCCAGGGUCCCUACACGGUGUUCGUCGGUCCCGCGUGGCUCUUGCCACGACCUGGGCUCCGGCCCGGGCCGACCUUUCCCGAGCCGCCAUGUCAUCCGACUUCGAAGGCUACGAGCAGGACUUCGCGGUGCUCACGGCAGAGAUCACCAGCAAGAUUGCGAGGGUCCCCCGUCUCCCGCCUGAUGAGAAGAAGCAGAUGGUUGCAAAUGUGGAGAAACAGCUCGAAGAAGCAAAAGAACUGCUUGAACAGAUGGAUCUGGAAGUCCGAGAGAUACCACCCCAGAGUCGAGGAAUGUACAGCAACAGGAUGCGAAGCUACAAGCAAGAAAUGGGCAAACUUGAAACAGAUUUUAAAAGGUCACGGAUUGCCUACAGUGACGAAGUACGGAAUGAGCUCCUAGGGGAUGAUGGGAAUUCCUCAGAGAACCAGUUGAUAAAAUUACGUGAAGAGAGGGCACAUCUGCUCGAUAACACAGAGAGGCUGGAAAGGUCAUCUCGGAGACUAGAGGCUGGAUACCAAAUAGCAGUGGAAACCGAGCAAAUUGGCCAGGAGAUGUUGGAAAACCUCAGUCACGACAGAGAAAAGAUACAGCGCGCACGUGAACGACUUCGGGAAACAGAUGCUAACUUGGGGAAAAGCUCCAGGGUUCUGACGGGGAUGUUGCGAAGAAUCAUCCAGAACCGCAUCCUGGUCGUCGUCUUGGCCAUCAUCCUGGUCGUCACCAUCCUGAUGGCGGUCACUUUUUCUGUCAGAAGACACUGAUGGAUCUGUUCCUCCCUGACAAACAGCAACAACGGCUUGUUCUGACUUUUCCAUGGGCUCUGAGCUUUGGGGGGAAAAGCUCCUUCACCAUCGUCAUCACCAUCCCAGAUCUGAAGUCAGCGGCGUUCUCCACGCCGGAACGCCUGGCUUCAUCCGGCCUCCCUGUCUGAUUCCGUGAGUUUCACAGAGCCAUGGAAGCCACUGGCAGAGGCCUGGUCUGUUGGUACUUCAGGGCUGGGAUGACCUGGUCAAUAACAGGGAACGAGAUCUUCUCUGCUGACCUGCUUUGCUCCUACCCACCUGUCCCCAGGAAGACAGACCCCUUGGGCAGCCAGCCACCCCAUGGAUGUGAAGGGGAGAGAUGGCACAUGUCCCUUGCUCAGCCACCAUCUCUCAGCCUCACCCAUCCAAGGACAGACGGUCCCAGCAGGAGCUGUGGCAUAGGAGGGCCGGGUCCGGCAGGUGGGACAAGUGAGGCCACCCUAAGCUUCAGAGACCACCGUGGGCAUGGAAACGGCACACACGCCUGGGCCUGAGGGGUCUCGAAUCUCCAUCUCGGCCUGUUCCAGAUUAGCCGCGUGACAGCUUACCACCUUUGGAACGGAUGCCACACCUCGGCAAAAGAUAGGCUCAGAGUCCUUUUUCCAAAAGGAAGGAAGGCUUUGUGGUAAGCCAUCCCUAGUCUGACUCCCAGAGACACUGGUUGCCCGAGAUGAGCCGCCAGCCCUCAAACCCGACCUCAUCCUGUGUAAUUCACUAACCUUAAGCCGAACUCCAAGAAACAUUCUUGUUUAAAUGGCUUUGCCUGCAGCCCAUUGGGCUCAAACCAGUAGUGUCUGCCAGGGGCCGUCCACAUUUUAUGACUUAGGUAGUUCUUAGACAAGAUGUCAGCCUUUUAAAAAUGAGGCCGGGAACUAUGUGGGCAGCUCGAGAAGUGCUUAAAGCCACAGGAUCCUUCCCAAAAGAAAGGAGACCCUGCAGGGUAACCAAGAGAGGCCCAGUGCAGGGAGAAGAAUGCAUGUGCUCGGGGCCAAGGCUGGAGACCGGGUCCCGGAAGAGGUGAUGGAACCAGGGUGAGCAUCGUCUCUGUUGUAGAGGAGGGAAGACGCAGGGGAUGCUGGGAGAGACCGCCCAUGCCCACGAGGACUCUAGCUCAGUAACAAGGGAAAUGUUCCCAAGCUGCUUACCAGAGGCGAGUAGGGCAAAAACAAGAUGGUGGGGCAAACCCAAAAUGACAGGACACGUGGGUUGAGAAUGUGUGAGGAGGUGAGGGACGGGUGGCGUAUGGGGUGAGGAGGGAUUCCCAGCACCAGGGGACAGGAGAUGGUGAGUGGGACUCAUCCCAGGAGAUCAUUAAGAGGGAAGGGCGCCGGCAUCAGGCCUCACGUUGUGCCACCCUGGGCCCAUUAUUGGCCUCCUUCAGGAGGCGCCAGAGCCGGAGAAAGACAGGGUGCCUUUCUCCCAGGACCCCAGCCCAAAUCACACACAACCUCUGUUGUCAUGCCUCAAGGAGCUCCCAGCAUGCUGUGGGUAAAGCACUUCCUCGUCCUGAAUCACCUCAUUACUCGUGCUACAUAAAUAACGAAGGCAUCACAGAGAGAGGGGGAAAUGCCAAGCAGCAGAGCUCUAGACUGUGAUUCUGUGAACUCGUGCACCCCCUCCUUCCCUUCAUCCAAACAAGGCCCUUUGGCGUGAAUAAUAGCUCAGCGGCCCCGAAGCCCGUAUUGAUCUGCUGCACACACGGCUCCGCUGAGAGCCGCCUGGACUUUUCCUGGGGGCAGGACAGCGCCGUUCAGUGCAGCCCUCUCCUUCCCCCACCCCUCAGCCUCCCCAGGUGUGCUCAGGAGGGGACAGUGCUGGGGGAGGGGGGAGACAAGGCCCUUCUCCAGCUCAGUGCUGCUUUGUUGCCUCAACUUUUUUGUUUUUAACUUAUUUUGCCAAGAAAAGUACCUGAAUUGGACAGAAAUGUUUUUUUGCAAGAUGAGGCCCCACAGAGUUGAGAAUGAAAUACAUCCUCAGGCUCCAGCUUCUCUCCAGAAGAUUCUGCCAAAGACCCAGGCCACAGAGGCACCCUCCGCUGACACUGACGGAGGCCUCCCGCAUGCCCAGCACUGGGUCCAAGCACCCUGGCAUGCCACAACGCGUGUGUCUGUUAAUUUUCUAUCUUAACACCAUCAGAAGAGAGACAAGCUGAGAAUGUGGCCCGAAUCCGCCACGUCUUUGGGGAGUGGGAUUGCUGUUAAAUUCGGUAAGAAGCCUCCGCCAUAGGAUGCUAAAUGCACGGGGCCUGAAGCCCGCAGCCCCCCACCCUGAGGCUCCAAACACUGUCCCCUUCCUCAUUCCCAACUCUUUCAGACCCAGGUCCUGGCCCUCUGGGUCACGGACAGUUGUAAGAUGAGCCAGGUCUCUGCACAGGAACGCCCGUGAGCUCGUAGUUUCCUGAAAUACCACUCUGAAAGAUUCGUCCCUCUGGUGUCUGACCUCGAGCCCGGGCAAAAUGCAGAUUCUUCUUCCCCUGGUCAGCUUCAGAUCCAUAGACCACUGACCCAUUCCUGAGGGCAGAUUUUGGAUUUGGGGUGGGAACGACCCACCAUUGCAAGGAGCAGUCCGUGGUCUUUGGGAGAAGGCAGUAGAAAGGAAGGGGACCUCUGGUUGCCUGGCACCAGCCUGGUGGUUUCUCCUGGGAUCAGCUGCCCUCUGGGUAAGGAAUGGGUUCCUGGGUGCGCAGCCUUGCCAUAGAAGCCCACACACACCCUGGCCCCAGGGCCCAGGACCACUCAGGACAGAGAACACGGGGCCCUGGCAAGGCAAGAUAAUUGGGUGAGGUUCCCCUGGUACGUCCCACAGCAAUGCCCUUCCUGAGGAGAAGGAGGAGGCGGAGGAGAGAGGCCAGGAAGGCGGUGGGAGGGUAGUUAGAACAGUGGGUUCCAGCCAGUUGCUUUCCUUGGGGGGCUUCUGCAGCCUGCUCCCUCCCGGCCCUGCUGAGAUGCGGAGGCCGAGGCACUUGGGGAGGACACCCAACCUGACCGCUUCUGCCCCGGGCAGCGCCUCCCCACGCUGCCCCAUCCAGGGGUCUCAACACAGCAGGGACAUCGUGACUCUCAGAGACUGUCUCUGCUUGAUUUGUCUCCUCAUCCAAACAUCCUGCCGCCCCCCGCCAAGAAACUACAGAGUAAGGAGAGCUAGGGGCUGCAUGGGCUCAUCAUUGUCCCCGACAGGACUUCUAAACAACCACGCCUUUCCCUGUCUGAAGCCUGAGAGGUGUAAUUGGGUUUAUUCAUCUAGUCGAAAAUACGUACUGGCUAUCUACCGUGUUCCAGGCCCCAAAGACACGUGGUGAAGAAGUGAGGUAAGAAAACAUGCAUGGCAGCCCUGGGACUGCAGGUGGGGCACUGUUUUCGUCCCCAGAGCCCUGCCUUGCCCUCUGCUCUCAGCCAGGGCUCCAGGGUGAGCCACACUGGAAACCCUGGCGCCGUGCCCAUCCCCCUGCCCCCUCCCACCGCUGCCCCACCAAGGUCAGUGCCCCACCUGCCCGAGUCCUUGCCACGCCCCCUAGUGCUGUGUGUUCCUUCCUCCUUGCGGUUCCCGCAAUUACAUGUGCAAAUAGCCCCGUUGGACUAGAGUAGAGCUGACAUUUGCCUGCCAGUGGUUGAAUCCCCAUGAGCGCUGGCUCCGGGUCCAGGACCAGCCCCAGAGAGGCAGGGGACAGGUAUGGGGACCCUUUAGAUUGGGACUGACUUAGAGGAUUUUUUUUUCCUUUUUUCUUUUUUUCUUUCUUCCUUUUUUCUGCUUAUUAAAUGAUAAAGGUUCGACUUGGCAGGCAAUCAGAAACCCAAAAUAUCAUAAAAGGGAAAAAAGUUGCCGAGUGGCUAAGAGGUGCACCACGGGAGUGUCACUGGGCUCAGCAGCGAGGUGAAUUGCUGAGCGAUGGAGCAGGAGACGUUUUUCAAAGGCUUCUCUCUCCUUCUUCUCUCUCUGUCCCCCAUGCAGAAAGGGGAAAAUAGAAGCAGAAUCCAGAUUUGGGCACGAGGCUGAUGGGUCACCCUCCCCCACCACCAGCCCCCAGACAGUGGAGAAACUUUGAUCCGGGGACAGGAGGAGCCUGGGCACCCCGGCAAAGGCUGCAGCACGGUCCUGGUCUCUGAGUGGGCUUCCCUGGGCUCCUGUGAGGGGAGAUGAAACCCACAGAGCCAGGGAAAUUGGGGCUGGAAAGGAGGAAAUGUGGGACUCGUGCCCCUUGGGCUCCAGGCUGGUGGGUUUGGAUGGCAAAAGCCAACCAGGCAGAUGGGCUCAGAUUCACAGAACCCUCUAGCUGUGCAAGCUUUAAGGAGCAUUUUGGCCAACCUGCUUGUUCAAAUGGGUAGAUGGUGCACAGAGAGGGAAUGAGUCUUCGCUUGAGAAAACCCAAUAAGUGGGCGGUGGAGCCAGGAAUGGACUCCAAGUCUUCAGCCUCUCCUUGGGCUUCUCUCAUCUGCACAAGGAGAUGCAACUCAGACAGCGCCGCGUUCUGGAAGCCAUGGCCCAGCCACGGGGCCUCUUUGGUAGUGCUGGCCUUCACACCACGUGGCUAAUGUUCCUCCAUUACAUUCUUUUUUAAACCAACAUGCAUAGAAAAACUCGGUUCCAUUCCUGUUGGCUAUGAUCAUUUUUUUCCCCUGAAUAUCAGAUCUUUUCUCUCUUAAGGAACUGGCAGAGGGCACCCUGGUGUCCCCUCAGCUGAGCUACUAGUGUCCCCGGGGAAAGGCAUUUUUGUGCUCAAGUCCACCAUCACUAGCAAAAGAAUCUUGUGAGAACAAGUAAGUGAGAAUUGAAUUCCUCCUCCCCCAGCACCGAGCCCCUGGAGGCCUCUGGCAAACUCCUUGGUUGCUGAUGCUAGGCGGACACGGCUUUAGAGCUGGGGGAAGCGCUGACUCUCCAGGUCCUGGCAGCUGUGGGGGUGGUGUUUGCACACCCAGGAACAGCCUGGCAGGGAGACCCCUCGAGGCUUCACUCUUUUCCCAAAGUCUGGCAUUUUCCAGGCCGGAGGUACUCAAAGCUCCCGGCCUUUCCAUGCCACCAGCCUGGCGUGUGGCCUCACGUUGACAAGUCAGAGCCAGCUCGGGUUCCGGUUCUUCAUCUGGCCAACGGGAAAGUUGGUUGGAAAGUCUCAGGAAGGUAGGCCUCUGCCAGCUCCUGUCACCCAUGGCGGAGAAAAUGGGAAUGUUCCAAAUGUGAGGGUCGAAGGCCCUGGGGUAAGAUGGCAGCCCCUGGCGUGCGGAAUGUCCUAGAAGAGAAGGAGAUUUGGUGCACUGAGCUUCGGAAUGGUCUUGGAUGCAGGACUGGUGGCAUGGGCUUGUGACCAGUGCAGUUGCGCACGUGACCCCACCUUCAGAAGGGCCCACACUGGGGGCUUAAUGCUGUACUAUAAUUGAAAUUCAUGAUAAUUUUAUCUUCAUAAUUGCAUUUUGUAAAUGAAGUUCGGUGAGACAACAGACCAUGAGCGGGGAGCUUGGAGCCAGGCUCCCACGCGGUCCAGCCUCCCACCACCUCCUGCUUGUGGGGUCAGAUGCUCAGCCCCCUGGAGCCCCACUUCCACUCGGCCUUCCCACCCCAACCUCCCUGAAGCAACAGCUGCUGACCUGCCUCUGGGCUCAGGCAUGGGUGGGGUCAAGGGCUGGACGGGGCAGCCCACAGCAUUUUGUAGUGGGGCGUGGCAGCCGCAGGCCCUGCCCUAUGCUGGCGGCGUCAGGGCACAUUCAGUGGGACAAACCUCUAAUCCACUCCGAUGCAGGCACCAGGUACACCUAGUGCGUCCUGGCACCAAGGUGGCCCAGCCCCUUCGGUUGCCCAUCCACCGAGGAUUGGGGCACGGACCUUGCAGAAGGGGGAGAUGCCUACCUUAACCUCCCAUUCCAGGCCUGGGGUACAACCUCUCCGUCCAGCCACUGGGAAGAAAGGGAACCUGACCCCCAGGCUGGAGGGCAAGUGCAUGACCAGGACGCAAGGCCGGAGUCAGCAUCCUGAGGGUCUGCCGUCCUCCUGAGAGAAUCCCCAGACCUGGGGGAGCCCUCUCUUCCUUCUUCCAAUGUUCCUGAGUCCAGCUUGUCUCUUCUGGCCUGAGUCGUCUGGUUGAGGCUCCCUCUAGGAACAACCCACUACAUGGGUUGUGUAACUGCUGAUUUCCCACACGUAAAUAUUCUGACAUUUGCCUUUAAAACCAGUGUUGCACAGUAUAAAAGCGAACAGUAAAAUUCGUGCUAGUGACUUAAAAUUUUAACUUGACUUAGAAGACAUCAACUAGAAAAUUUUAAACACCGUGACAAGAGAGAGACAAGGGAAGAAAUGAAAAAGCAUUUUUUUUCUUGCUUUCUGAACACAGGGCUCCGUAUUUUCAUUUUGCUUUGGCGCUCACGAAUGAUGGAGCCUGUCCUGCCUGGGUCCCGGCCGGCGGUAUUACAUCCUGGAAACGAAGCUCCAGUCUAGAAACCUCCCCUCUUCCCUGGAAUACAGACCAAAUAGCCUCUAUAUCUGGGAUCCAAGCAAGCUGUGAAAUGGAAAGAUGUCAGCCAGCCCAAGGGUUGAGGCCAGUGUGUGAAGAGUGAUCAUUGAUCUCUACAUUCAUCCCUUUUAUUUAACGGAAGAGGGUAUCUCCAUUUCAGAAGCAUUUCCAAAGCGACGGUCAUGGAGGUUCCAAGUGCCCCUUUCCCCUGCCCUGCCUGAUGUCGGAGGACUCACCUGUCCAAGCGAUGAAUGUGUCCAACAUAGCAACCUGUCUUCUUCUGUAAAAGUGCUGUUACUUUAAGAGAACGUUUGUGGGAUGAAUGGCAUGAAAGAAUGAAUGAAUGAAUGAGUCCCUUUCCAUCAAGUUGCCUCAAAUGGAGUCCAGAUGUUAAACGGCAUGCUCGACAGCGCCACUGCAAGAGAAGGAGAUUCGGAUGACCCCCGUGUGGCUCCUCCUACAGCUUUUCCCCAACAGUGGAUGAUCUCUUGAUCAUUUUUAAAUUUUGUGGUUUUAAGUUUAUCUUAUUUCAUUUCAUUUCCCUUUGAGUGCUGUCUUCUGGCUCCUGCUCCGCUUCCUCCAGCUAAUUCAUUAGGCCGAAGAGCCGCCCCAGAGUGGGAUUAGAACCCGUGUAGUACAUCGUCGCUUUAAACUGAAAUCUGCUAAUUAAUGGAUCUUCUGUGCGUAACUGAAUGAUAGCGCUGCUUCCCCGGGGAAUUGCGAUUUCAUGGUUCCUAAUGAUGCUGCGAUUACAUUAUCUGGAUCACGCAAACGGUGGGUGUCAGAUGCGGUGCUCAGAGCCUGUCUCGGGGCUGGGGAGAAAUCGCUCCUAAAACCAAGGGGAUGAGAGGAAGGAGUUAGAAUGUCUGCUGUUAAUUGUCAUUAACACGUGCUGUUCCUUCCUCUUGUUCGGUAUUUGUUUCAAGGUCCAGCUUCCCCCAGCUCCACAAUGCUUCUGUAACCUCACUCCCCAUCCCCCAGUAGUCAUAGGGUUUUGUUUGUUUGUUUGUUUGUUUAAAAAAAAACUAUUUAUUUGCUGUAUUCCACAAAGUAAUUUAUUUUCAUUACCUUUCUUGGAAAUGUGGGUCUACAUAUCGUUAGUACAAGAAAUAUAUGUUGGUCGUUGUUUCCCGAACUAACCUGUAUUAUUUGAUGAGUUAAAUAAAAUGCCUGAAUCGGCGUCUGCUAUUGCUA